AGCAAAAAAAAUUAAGCUGUUGUAAAACUAUACUUUGAUCACAAAUAAUUCCUUUACACUUAUCACACUGUCAUUGAUACAAGGAGUCAUUCACUCACAUAACAUUUCCUAAUUGCUUGCUCUAGGCCACAUAAAAUUCAGGACCUUUAUACAGUCAUGAACCAAGAAGAUGGAGAAUGUGCCUUGUAGGAGUUUACCGCCUAAUAAAGGAGGAAGGAAGCACACCAGUAACCACACAUACACACACACAGAGCUGAGCACCAACAAGGAAGCACUGGAAUGCUGCGGGAGAGCCGCUCAGGAGGACAAAAGAGCACUGGAUGUCAGAGGCUCCCAGUCCUAGUCCUGGCCUUGUCACUUGCUCUUCAUUUGUAAAAAGAAGGACUGGCCAUGAGUGGAUGAUGGACUGUCCUCAGAAGCUGCCCCAUAAAGCAGUGCCACGUCUGUGCCCAGCCUGGCCUCCAGAACCCUGACGAGACACAGUGCCCAGGAGUGGUGGAGAGCGGGUGGGCGCUCCAUUCAUCCCCAUUCCUCCCGAUUCAACAGGUACCCGCAACGUGCCCACA